CCGCUCAGCUGUAAUUAGUCGCAAGUGUUUCCGGCUUCUUUGAUAACUUUUGAAAUGGAUUGAUAAGAGAUUCCUGUUUAUCUGUAAAAUAUUUGUGCCGGGAAAAUGAAAACAGAGAUAGUUACAAUCGUACAAUCAACGUGAAAGCUGUUUUGCGCAACUGUCCUUGCGCGACCCACGUAAAUUAUAUACGGUAUUUGGUCAUUUUUUCGUGGUGGCCUGGGGAGAGUUUUAUACUUUAAUGUGAG